UUCUUUGUUUCCCUUUUCUUCCUUCAACCAUCUCCAUCACCCCCUAUGCAACUACCACCAACUUAGCCACCGACGACUGAUUCAGGAAUCAGUCGGGUUAAACUCACUCGAAUUAUUGAAGAGGGAAGUAAUGAUGAUGAGGAUGUUGGUUGUUAUGGUGGCGACGGCGAUGGAGAAGAUGGAAAUAGGCUAAAACGAAAAAAUUAAUGAUGGAGAUCGUGGUGAUCCUUACUGAAAUGAUGAACUUCGUGAUAAAAAGGUUGGAAUGUUGGCUGUGUUUAGAUAAAGAAAAUAAAAUUGGUUCUGAUUGGUGUUGUGGUGGUGGUUAGGGAUAAUCUGUGUAAUUGUUAUUGGCGGUGGUGAGGUUCAAAUGAAAAAUUGGUGAUGGAAAUAUCGGUGGAUGGUGGUUUUGGUUGUGGAUUGUUGGUGGUGGUGGUGAUAUCUUCCUAAAGAUAAAAGUAGUAAUGAAUGAAACUAACAUGUCGGGUACUUUUAAUGUUCUCGGGAGAAAGUAUAAGUUCAUGUGGCUGCCUCUUUUGGGGAUCUUAGUAAUGGCAUAUGCAGCAAAGUUGUCCAACUUUUUAUAGCAUACAAGUGCACUAACACUGUAGGUGCUAGCUACUAUGUUGGUUGGAUUCUCUUCUAUAUUCUUUCAGGAGCGACGAUGGUGGUGGUGACGGCAGCGAUGGUGGUGACGGAGGCGGUGGUGGUGAUGGCGGUGGUGGUGGAGUGGUGGUACAAUAUAAGUGUUGGUGGUGCAAUAUUGGUGGUGGCGGCGGUGAAGUGGUAGAGAAACAAAUUUGUUGUAUUUAGGAAAAAAAAAUCAUAUGUAUGAGGGUAUUAAAGUAAUCUAUUUUUAAAUGGAUAUGGUUUUAAAAUGGUAGCGGUGUUUUUAUUGUUGUAUAAGGUUAUAUUUGUUGGGUGUGAAAACUAGGGAUAUAUAAUUAAUGUACCUAGAAGAGAACUACUUCUCCUUCAUCCCUCACACCAAAAUCAAUUGAUUCUCUUAUUCAUUGA